AGGUAAAAGGCAAUAAAGCCCUUGAAGGCUAAAAAUGAGUAUAAAUGAAUAAGGGGUAUUGUAGUAAUUGAACAAAGAGUUGAUAAAUAUAAAUAGAAAAGAAAAUAGAAGAGAGAGCUGUGUUUUAAGAGUGAAAACUGACGGGAGAAGAGAAGAAAAGGGGAGGAAGAAGAAGAGAAAAGAGGGAAAGAUAAGGAAAUGAGAAGAGAAUUGGAGGAAAUAAGUUUAAAGGUUCUCCUAACGAUCCUCAAUAGGAUUUUUGGGUCUUUCGUCUGACAUUCCUUUUAGUUCUAUAUUUUCCGGGUGAGUGGGAUAAUCUUUAAUAUGCAUAUAUGAUAAGUAAAUAUGUAUGUUGAUUAUACAAUGAGUACAACUCGUUAAUUUCUUGAAUAUUUAUAUAUGUUGCUUAUUUUCCGAGUACUCAUUUAUUCUUGAAUUUGCACUCGCAAUCUGUCGAACUAGAUUCUAUUUGAUAUGAUAUAUGUUUUUCUGAUGAUUCUGUAAAUAUCUAUUAUGCCUUGAUAUGGGACUUGUCAGUAACUCCAUGCUAACGGAGAGUAGUUAGCUUAUGUGCACAUAGUAUUCUGUAUACCUAGCUGGUGAGAGAGGCAUCAGCCUGUGGCGACUGAUCAUCCCACAAUGGUCACCUUUGUGUGUCAUCUGGUCACCUUCGGGUGUCAUCUGAUCUCUGACAUGUACUCCACUACGUUAUAAUGAUAUGUUUAAUAUGUAUAUGAUAUGUUCAGUAUGUAUAUGUAUAUGUAUAUCAAGAUAAAGGAUCUUGCGAACUAUUAAUAUCAAGAAUAUCUAAAAUGUAUAUUAAUUAUUAUUCCCUCACUGAGUUGGUUGAACUCACCCCUCAUUCUUAAUAUUAUUUCAGGUUCUUAGUUUCUGAUAACAGGUGAACUUUGUUGAGUGUUCCUGCUUCUUCAGUUUUGAGUCGGUAUGCCUUGCUUAUCUUUCAAGGCUGUUUGAUUCAAUGUCUUAGGCGCUCCACUGUUACCUUGUUUUAAUUAAGUUUGGAUUUUGACAAUGUAAUGAGUAUUAUGGAUUAUUGUCUUUGUUUUAAUUACCGAUGAAGAGUUUUAAACUAUCUUUUAGUUUCAUCAGUUUUGAAUAAUAUAAUAUUUCUGAAGAUUAUGGAA